rnacentral:rRNA from 1 species
UACGUAGGGAGCAAGCGUUGUCCGGAAUCAUUGGGCGUAAAGCGCGCGCAGGCGGUCCUUUAAGUCUGAUGUGAAAGCCCACGGCUCAACCGUGGAGGGUCAUUGGAAACUGGGGGACUUGAGUGCAGAAGAGGAAAGCGGAAUUCCACGUGUAGCGGUGAAAUGCGUAGAGAUGUGGAGGAACACCAGUGGCGAAGGCGCUUUCUGGUCUGUAACUGACGCUGAGGCGCGAAAGCGUGGGGAGCAAACAGG